AAGAUAAAAUUUGCAUGUUUUUAGAGUUUGCCCUUUUUGAUCCAUUUCACAUGUUGGAUUCUUAAGGAUUUCAUUAGUGAGGGCAUGGAGACAGGAAGUGGGAGGGGCUGUGUAUCGGAUCUUAAGUCUUCACUGAUGAGAUUAAAUUUAUUUGACAAGAACAACAACCUCUAUUCAAAGAAGGAUUUAUUGCCAUGGCUAUGAGAGCUAACUGGUAUAAAACUGUGGAUGCAACUUGUGCUAAAUACGAUUAUACAAAUCACAUGACUGAUAUGUAUACCCUCACUUGAUGUAGAGUGAUCUCUCUCUUUGUAGGUAUAUUAUUGUGUCAUGAUGAUGAGCUGGAGGGUAGAAGUAUUGUAUCUUGUAGAUCCUUCAUGGUAGAGGAAAGAUGGAGUAGGUAGAGUUUUGUCAGCCUAAUCAGUUAGUCCA